rnacentral:lncRNA from 1 species
AGUAAGAAAGCUACGAGAGCUUGAAUGAGUCUGCGGAUGAUUGUGCUGAGCAUAAAAAGCCAGUCCCCAAGGUUACUUGCAUGGUCUCUCACACCUCUCAUAUAACCAUCCUGGAAGGAGAGCACAGGCAGGGUUACAGAGCUGGAAAGGCAGACGGGGAACCCAGGGGCUCACUGGCCAGCCCACGUGGCUAAAUGGAGAUCUGAGUAAAGAGACUGCACAGCUCCUAGGCGGGACCAUCGUAAUCUCUGGCGUCCAUAUCCAUCCACCCACCCACCUCCCUGAUGCAGCAAGAAUGUGGGUCAGGGACAUGCCUGAAGACCUGGGACCGUUCACUCUGCUAUGCAACCAAAUGCAUAAUGCAACCCGCUUCCCAGCUUGUUCAGAGCACUUUCAAGUGACAGAGAAAAUGAUCCCUUUGAGUUUUUCUCAAACCCGUGCUGCUGGCGGCAGUUUAUCUGGUAAAACACCUAAUCAGAGGAGAAAAUGAAUGAGGCUUCCCGCCCGAUGAGCAAGCAAGCGAGUGUCUCCGGUCCGUGCUCCCAGAUCGACUUUCACAUUCAAUUCGUACCUAGUGCUGAUGUUGAUACUGAUGUUAAGAAAUAAUUUCUUUAAAAACUAUUUGCUUCCUUUUUUCUCCCCCACUUGGAAUGCCUAGUCCAGCUUUGCGUAAAAAAGAAUGAUAGGAAGAAGGUAUUGAAACCGGAAGCUUCUAUAUUCAAAUUAUUAUCUUGGUAUAUACUAGCUACUGCCAUGACCUCCAGCUAUGCUUUUAGCCUUAGCCUCUGAGCCCCGCAGUGAGACUGCUAAUACUAGACAGGAUGAUGACACAAAUCCAUAGGACUGUGGAAAGGACUAAUAAGAAACCACCUGCCAAAAAGCCCAGUGUCAUUCCUGACACAUAGUCGUCAAGUGGUUCUCAUUAUUGUUAAUAAUUCUAGCUAAUGUAAGGAGACGCAUGCCUUCAUAGCCCUCUGCAAGUAUCCCCGUGAUCUCUAUAUGAGUUUGUUUGCACCAGUCAGGAGAGUCAAGGUUAUGCUGCCGUAACAAAGAGUCCCAACAGAGUCCUUGUUCAUACUGCAUGUCCAUUAUAACUUGUCUCAUUUUUUUUUUUUUGGACCCAGGGUAAUGGAGCAGCUAGUGUCUAGGACAUCGCAGAUUGUCGUGAUCCAGAGAAAGCUGAUGUAUCAGCAUUAAGUGAUUGGUUUAGAAACUCAUACUCCCAUUCAAAACUCCUUGGGCAGAGUUGGCUAUACAUACUUGUGUGACUACAAGUGUGUGUAUUGGCGCAUGUGCACACAUGGAGACCAGAGGGGUGGGGGUGGGUGUCUUUAUCGUUCUCCACCUUUUUUUUUUUUUUUUUUUUUUUUUUUUUUUUGAGACAGGGUUCUCACUAAACGUGCUGUUCACCCACUUCACUAGACUGUCUGGGCAGCAUGCCCCAGGGAUCUGUCUGUCUGCACCUCCCCAGUGCUGGGAUUUCAGGUGCACAGCUUUUUAUAUGGAUGGCGAGGAUUCGAACUCAGGUCCUCAUGCCUUUGCUGCAAGCACUUCACAUACCGAGCCAUCUCUCCAACCUCCGGUUGUCUAUUCUUACCUGAUGUCAAGAAAUCAGAAAGAAAGAAAUCCUACCACAUUCAGAAAGGAGGAAGGCUGGAAGAACGAGGCCCGCAGUCCUAACAACUACCACGGUGGUUUCGAAAAUGGCUGCCUAGGCCAGAGAUAUGGGGGCUCAGCUAGACAGUGGGGAAAAGGAUGAGUGAGGAGGAUGAGGAGCACAAAGGU